rnacentral:rRNA from 1 species
GACGAACGCUGGCGGCGUGCCUAAUACAUGCAAGUUGAGCGCUGAAGGUUGGUACUUGUACCGACUGGAUGAGCAGCGAACGGGUGAGUAACGCGUGGGGAAUCUGCCUUUGAGCGGGGGACAACAUUUGGAAACGAAUGCUAAUACCGCAUAAAAACUUUAAACACAAGUUUUAAGUUUGAAAGAUGCAAUUGCAUCACUCAAAGAUGAUCCCGCGUUGUAUUAGCUAGUUGGUGAGGUAAAGGCUCACCAAGGCGAUGAUACAUAGCCGACCUGGGAGGGUGAUCGGCCACAAUGGGACUGAGAAACGGCCCAAACUCCUACGGGAGGCAGCAGUAGGGAAUCUUCGGCAAUGGACGAAAGUCUGACCGAGCAACGCCGCGUGAGUGAAGAAGGUUUUCGGAUCGUAAAACUCUGUUGGUAGAGAAGAAAGUUGGUGAGAGUGGAAAGCUCAUCAAGUGACGGUAACUACACAGAAAGGGACGGCUAACUACGUG